CUCAAUUUGAUAAUAGUUGAUAGUGUCAAAAUCCAGAACAUAAUAUUUUACAACAGGCAAUCCAAGCUACAAAGCAAGAGAGAGAACUGGUGAAUACUGGAGGACUGGAUAAAAGACGCACAAGCGGAGACAGAGAGACUCACUCUGCUCACAGCCCAGAGAGUGAGGACUCCAAAAAUCACUAUUCAGCUGCUGGACAAGACAGAGAUCAAACUGGAAGAACUGCUGCAGAUAAUAAAGAAGGUGGACAUUAAAAAGGAAGAAUGGGACAAGGAAGAGUUAAUUUAUUAUUCUUUUUCUGAAAAGACUUUAAAGUACCCACACCUUUCUAAAAAUGACAACUCUAUCAAAUGUAUUCUAAAAAGAAUCAACAAUAACAAUUUUAGCUCCAUAUUUUGUGAAACUGAGAGUAGUUUUCUCGAACUAAUACAGGAGGUAAAGGUAAAGAAAACAGACAAGCAGUACUGUUUUGCAGUUUUCAGAAAAGCAGAUCAAACAUCAAGCAAAAUUGGUCCCCAUUAUCCAGACUCUGAUGAUAAUCAGCAUAGUGAGGAUUUCUUAGUUAAAGAAAUACUGGAAUUAGUGAAAAAUGGUGACAUUACUAAAUACAGUGAAUUAUGGAUCUAUUCUCUAAACAGCCCCUGUAUUGGCAAACACGAAGGUCCACCCUGCAUCAUUAUUUUAAUGCUUUUAUCAGUUGUUUUGUUCAAAAAAUAUAAAAUUACAACAUGCAUCGGCUUCUCAAAACAUCAUGGAUUUGCAGGAUCCAUCUGUGAGCUUUUAGCUCCUCAUGAAACU